rnacentral:rRNA from 1 species
GGACGAACGCUGGCGGCGUGCCUAAUACAUGCAAGUUGAGCGCUGAAGGUUGGUACUUGUACCAACUGGAUGAGCAGCGACCGGGUGAGUAACGCGUGGGGAAUCUGCCUUUGAGCGGGGGACAACAUUUGGAAACGAAUGCUAAUACCGCAUAAAAACUUUAAACACAAGUUUUAAGUUUGAAAGAUGCAAUUGCAUCACUCAAAGAUGAUCCCGCGUUGUAUUAGCUAGUUGGUGAGGUAAAGGCUCACCAAGGCGAUGAUACAUAGCCGACCUGAGAGGGUGAUCGGCCACAUUGGGACUGAGACACGGCCCAAACUCCUACGGGAGGCAGCAGUAGGGAAUCUUCGGCAAUGGACGAAAGUCUGACCGAGCAACGCCGCGUGAGUGAAGAAGGUUUUCGGAUCGUAAAACUCUGUUGGUAGAGAAGAACGUUGGUGAGAGUGGAAAGCUCAUCAAGUGACGGUAACUACCCAGAAAGGGACGGCUAACUACGUG